GUGGGGAAUAUUGGACAAUGGGCGAAAGCCUGAUCCAGCCAUGCCGCGUGUGUGAAGAAGGUCUUCGGAUUGUAAAGCACUUUAAGUUGGGAGGAAGGGCAGUAAGUUAAUACCUUGCUGUUUUGACGUUACCGACAGAAUAAGCACCGGCUAACUUCGUGCCAGCAGCCGCGGUAAUACGAAGGGUGCAAGCGUUAAUCGGAAUUACUGGGCGUAAAGCGCGCGUAGGUGGUUUUGUGAGUUGGAGGUGGCAUCACCGGGCUCAACCUGGGAACUGCCUCCAAAACUGCAUGACUAGAGUACGGUAGAGGGUAGUGGAAUUUCCUGUGUAGCGGUGAAAUGCGUAGAUAUAGGAAGGAACACCAGUGGCGAAGGCGACUACCUGGACUGAUACUGACACUGAGGUGCGAAAGCGUGGGGAGCAAACAGGAUUAGAAACCCCGGUAGUCC
rnacentral:rRNA from 1 species